GCAAUAGUAGCUUACAAAGAGCAUUGGUCUUGUAAGCCAAAGGUGGCAAAAUACUCCCUAUUGCU
rnacentral:tRNA from 1 species